UAUGACUCCCUCUAACCCAGUGGCCCCCAACCUUUUCGGCACCAGGGACCUGUUCCGUGGAGAAAGGUUUUUCCGUAGCCUUGGGGGGCGCAUGCUGCCUGCAUCUUUCAGUGCCCUUGUCACAAGAUGUCAUCCAGAAUGUGUAAAUCCACUAAUAAACAUUUCUCAAGAACUUUAAGACAAUCACAAAGCACCUGGAGGCAGAACAAGAAGCAAUGGAUGGAAAUUAAUCAAGGAAAGAAUCAACCUAGAACUAAGGAGAAAUUUCCUGACAGAACAAUUAAUCAGUGGAACAGUUUGCCCCCAGAAGGUGUGGUUGCUCCAUCACUAGAGGUUUUUAAGAAGAGAAUGGACAACCAUUUGUCUGAAAUAGUAUAGGGUUUCCUGUUUGAGUAGGGGGUUCAACUAGAAGACCUCCAAGGUCACUUUCAACUCUGUUAUUCUGUUGUUCUGUUCAUUUAUUUGUCACAAGUAAGAAGACAGCUCUGCUUUAACCAUGUGUUUGAAAGAAACAGAGCAUAUUUUGGCUUACUAAGGCAAGCACAUUUCAUGCUUAUUUCAUUCUGUGCAGCCUAGAAGUUCUACAGUAAUCUGGAAAUCACAAGCUGGUAGGCUCUUGUAAGCUUACUGUCAACUAGAAUGCAGUGAGAUGUAUUGCCAUAUAAUCCAGAGAGAAGUGUUCAAGUUUGUUAAAGUUUACUGUGUGCAAAAGGAAGCAGUUCUAUUCUUGCUAAAACUGAAAACAACCAGAGGUUUGAAUGUAAAAGAAAAGGGCAUAAGGCUGAAAAUUAUGAAUUAUGAAGUAGUGGAAAAAUCCAUUGAGUAAAGUAACAGACUCCCAUUUGAUUGAGUUUUUUUAGAAGAGAUUGGGAAUUGAGUGGCACACAAAUG